AUUGAACGCUGGCGGCAGGCCUAACACAUGCAAGUCGAACGGUAACAGGAAGAAGCUUGCUUCUUUGCUGACGAGUGGCGGACGGGUGAGUAAUGUCUGGGAAACUGCCUGAUGGAGGGGGAUAACUACUGGAAACGGUAGCUAAUACCGCAUAACGUCGCAAGACCAAAGAGGGGGACCUUCGGGCCUCUUGCCAUCGGAUGUGUCCAGAUGGGAUUAGCUAGUAGGUGGGGUAACGGCUCACCUAGGCGACGAUCCCUAGCUGGUCUGAGAGGAUGACCAGCCACACUGGAACUGAGACACGGUCCAGACUCCUACGGGAGGCAGCAGUGGGGAAUAUUGCACAAUGGGCGCAAGCCUGAUGCAGCCAUGCCGCGUGUAUGAAGAAGGCCUUCGGGUUGUAAAGUACUUUCAGCGGGGAGGAAGGGAGUAAAGUUAAUACCUUUGCUCAUUGACGUUACCCGCAGAAGAAGCACCGGCUAACUCCGUG
rnacentral:rRNA from 1 species